rnacentral:rRNA from 1 species
UACGUAGGGUGCAAGCGUUGUCCGGAAUUAUUGGGCGUAAAGAGCUCGUAGGUGGCCUGUCGCGUCGGCUGUGAAAACUCGGGGCUCAACUCCGAGCUUGCAGUCGAUACGGGCAGGCUAGAGUUCGGCAGGGGGAGACUGGAAUUCCUGGUGUAGCGGUGAAAUGCGCAGAUAUCAGGAGGAACACCGGUGGCGAAGGCGGGUCUCUGGGCCGAUACUGACGCUGAGGAGCGAAAGCGUGGGGAGCGAACAGG